GUCUUUUUCCUGGUCUGUCAUUGUACCAAGGAAGGCCCUGACCAAGCGUGAUGCAUGGCUGUGUUUAACCUCACUGGGUUCACACAGGCUUGCUUUUGAGAACAUGCAAUGCCAAAUAGUCCAUUGAUUAAGGAAUUAUAUUUCUUCCUCUUCACAUUCCCAAAUAUAAAAACCUUCAGCAGCAAAUGAGUGAGGCCAAAGCACAAGAAGUAGAUGGCACAUCCAUUUUUUGUGGAGGACACAUUACACAGCUCCUCCUCAGUCCAGCUCCUUCCUUCAGGACCAAGAGCACCACCACCACACAGGAGCCACUCUGGGUCCCAAGGAAGAGACCCCUUCACCAGGGAGGGGCUCCACCCCACACCCCCACUCAGGGGGUGGCCCCGAGGGGGCAGGGGGGAGGGCACAGGGGGUGGGACUAAGGGGGGAGGCCCCAAGGGGGCAGGGGGAGGCCCCAGCAGGUGACCCAAAGAGGUACAGGGGGCACAAAAAACCAAAAAAACCAAAAACCUGCCACUGUCAUGCACACCCACCCUCCCACCUAAAAAAAAUAUCUUUUUAAAGACGGUGCAAAACCUGGCCUCUAGCACCAUUACAAGGGGGAGAACACAGCCCACACCAAGUGACCAGAGCAGUCACCCAGCAUGAGCUGUGUUCUCCCCCUCAACAACUACACAACAAAACUAACAAAGAAAAAACCUACUCCCUUUAAGUGAACUAAACUAACAGUGGCACCACCUGCAAACCCCACACACAGGGACAGUCACCUUAAGACACCCAAAACACCUUCAGUGCUGCAUCCCAAAACACCACUAGACCCACCUUCAGCACCCAAAACACACCAUCAUCCUCCAACAAAAAACAAAACAUUGUCCCAUAACACCCAAAGGCACCACACAACUAUUAAAACACACACUCACCUCACUCCACACAGGCACACCGACGCAAUGCCAACUCUGGUC
rnacentral:lncRNA from 1 species